rnacentral:rRNA from 1 species
UACAGAGGGUGCGAGCGUUGUUCGGAAUUAUUGGGCGUAAAGGGCGCGUAGGCGGUGCGGUAAGUCACCUGUGAAAUCUCCUGGCUCAACUGGGAGCUUGCAGGCGAAACUGCCGUGCUGGAGUGUGGGAGAGGUGAGUGGAAUUCCCGGUGUAGCGGUGAAAUGCGUAGAUAUCAGGAGGAACACCAGCGGCGAAGGCGGCGCUCUGGGCCGGAACUGACGCUGAGGAGCGAAAGCGUGGGUAGCAAACAGG